rnacentral:ncRNA from 1 species
GUAUUGUAUGAAAGGAGAGAAGGUUAGCACCUACCUUGACAAAGACAGAAGAGGCCCUGGGGCCUGAUGGCAGCAUAUGGCUAAGGUACUGCCACCCACUUUGUGGCAUCAAUCAGGAGCCAUA